AAGUCGUAACAAGGUUUCCGUAGGUGAACCUGCGGAAGGAUCAUUAUUGGAUCAUUGACGGUCCGGACAGAGGUUGUUGUUGGCCUUAUUAGGUAUGUGCACACCUUGACUGGACUUGUCUACAAUGUCCCUUUACACACCAUGUGCACAUCUGUAGCUGAGGGAUGAUUACGGAGUUGCCAUUCGGUUGACUCUGAAUGCUCUCGCUAUGUUCAUACUAUACAUACGCAUAUAAUGUCAUCUGGAAUGUUUGUCUAGCGUGUAACAGCGCGAAUUGCAAUACAA
rnacentral:misc_RNA from 1 species